rnacentral:tRNA from 1 species
AAAAUAAUAUUUUAUAUUAAAAUAUAUGGUUUGCAACCAUAAGAAGUUAUUACUUAUUUUA